rnacentral:rRNA from 1 species
UGGGGAAUUUUGGACAAUGGGGGCAACCCUGAUCCAGCCAUUCCGCGUGAGUGAAGAAGGCCUUCGGGUUGUAAAGCUCUUUCAGCUGGAGUGAAACGGUACGCUCUAACAUAGCGUGCUAAUGACGGUACCAGCAGAAGAAGCACCGGCUAACUACGUGCCAGCAGCCGCGGUAAUACGUAGGGUGCGAGCGUUAAUCGGAAUUACUGGGCGUAAAGCGUGCGCAGGCGGAUUGUUAAGCAAGACGUGAAAUCCCCGGGCUUAACCUGGGAAUGGCGUUUUGAACUGGCAGUCUAGAGUGUGUCAGAGGGGGGUGGAAUUCCACGUGUAGCAGUGAAAUGCGUAGAGAUGUGGAGGAACACCGAUGGCGAAGGCAGCCCCCUGGGAUAACACUGACGCUCAUGUACGAAAGCGUGGGUA